CAGCAGCCGCGGGAAUACGUAGGGUGCAAGCGUUAAUCGGAAUUACUGGGCGUAAAGCGUUCGCAGGCGGUUAUAUAAGACAGAUGUGAAAUCCCCGGGCUCAACCUGGGAACUGCAUUUGUGACUGUAUAGCUAGAGUACGGCAGAGGGGGAUGGAAUUCCGCGUGUAGCAGUGAAAUGCGUAGAUAUGCGGAGGAACACCGAUGGCGAAGGCAAUCCCCUGGGCCUGUACUGACGCUCAUGCACGAAAGCGUGGGGAGCAAACAGGAUUAGAUACCCCCGUAGUCCCUGUCUCUUAUAC
rnacentral:rRNA from 1 species